CAGUAGCCGCGGUAACACGGAGGGAGCUAGCGUUGUUCGGAAUUACUGGGCGUAAAGCGCGCGUAGGCGGUUACUCAAGUCAGAGGUGAAAGCCCGGGGCUCAACCCCGGAACUGCCUUUGAAACUAGGUGACUAGAAUCUUGGAGAGGUCAGUGGAAUUCCGAGUGUAGAGGUGAAAUUCGUAGAUAUUCGGAAGAACACCAGUGGCGGAGGCGACUGACUGGACAAGUAUUGACGCUGAGGUGCGAAAGCGUGGGGAGCAAACAGGAUUAGAUACCCCCGUAGUCCCUGUCUCUUAUAC
rnacentral:rRNA from 1 species